rnacentral:lncRNA from 1 species
AGCAGGUCCUGCUCAGAGAAGAGGCAGCCAAAGAUGCCUGUCACAUCCACCCUAGGAAAGGACAGGAAGGCAAUACAGCAAACAAGGGAAUUAAUCCUGAAUGCUCAUGAGUAGCACCUAAAGAGCAACCACAUGAACUUGGAAGGGGACACUUUCUGCUGAUUCCUGAGUUCUGAUUUCACCCUCAGACCUGAUCUACAUCUGCUUGUUUGACUAGAAGACGCUCUUUUUGUGUUUGUGGAAUAUGGAAUGGGUAUCCUAUAAUUUCUGGCUAAGAUCCACUUCUCAGUGAGUAUACACUAUGCAUAUUCUUUUGCAUCCAGGUGACCUCUGUUAGUAUGAAAUUUUCAAGUUCCGAUAGGAGCAGUCCUCUGAGAGGCACAACAAGCAGCUGACCAAGACAGAAGCAGAAACUUUCACUCAUCCAAUGGAGAGAAGCUUGUUAACCCUGUGGUUGAAUUAGUGAAAGGCUGGAGAAUUUGUGGAGGAAGGUGAUUUCACUGAAAAACUUGUAAUCUCAACUAACCUGGACACCUGCAAUCUCUCAGAUUCUGAACCACCAUCCAAGCAGCAUGCACUAGCA